GGGAGGGGGGAGAGAAAGAGAACAGUCAGUGACGCGCACGGCCCCCUCCCCCACCCCGCCGCGCUUUCCGCCCACCCCCGGCCGCCCCACAGCCACCCGAGCAGGGCACCCGAACCACUCAGGCUGAACUUUACUUCCACGCUCCCGGGGGCAGCCCGGAAGCCGGCUCCCCGGCUGAAGCCCCCCAGACGAGAGGGAGCGGCGCCCCCGAGGGCAGGCCAUUCCUAUGGAUGGGCACCCCACCAUGGUGUGAACUGAGGAUCCCGCUAUAUACACACAGAGAUCCAAGAACUGCUCUCCGUCCGCUCACUGCUACUCAUGCUUACGCAACAGAUGUUGACGGAGUACCUAGCAAGGCACAAAGCUGGGCACCAUGGGGAGUGCCUCCCUUCAAGAAGCAUAAACAACCAAACUCCAAGAUGAGAUAGAAUGUCUGGUGUCAACGGAAAACUGAGUGCUAUUUCCUAACUUUCUGUUACAGAGAAUAAAACAAAUCCCAACUGAUCUUAGGAGAGAUCAGAUCCCAGUAGAAGUUCUCAGCGGUCCUUCUAGAGCCCGGAAGGAUCCCUAACCUUUGCCUUGGUUCUCCUGAAUUUGUUGUAUCUCAAGACCAAUGAUUGUUAAUCUUCCUCCAACUACUCUCACUGCAUGGAAGGACCAUUCUACAGAGGAGACAGACCUUGAGGAGAACCAAGGGGAAGCGUCCUCUUCGGUUUAGUUGGUGGACAAUCAGGAGUGCUGUCUUGGAGAUGUUGGGACCCACCACCGUUGGAACGAUGAAUGAGCCCAGUUCUCAGCGCUCACACAGCCACACCGGGAAGGGGCAGCAUCUAAGAUUUUAUCCUUUUCCUCCUUGGGAUUUUCCUAAGCCUCAAAGGGGAUGGAAACCCUUCGGAUAUACUGAAUGUGGGGAAACAGUCCACCAGAGCUUAAACAGAGGCGAUUCCACACUGGAGAAAACUCAUUUCCAUCUGCCUCCACAGGCCGCGAGCACACUUCUCCUAGACCAGCUCCCUCACCAGUCUUUAUUUCCCCUUAGACUCUCCACACCUCGUUUCCCUACAGCUUAUCCCACUCAGUGUGUCAGCGUGGGCAAAAUCUCACUGAAGAACCUCCAGAGGGGCUUCCCUGGUGGCGCAGUCGUUAAGAAUCCACGUGCCAAUGCAGGGGACAUGGGUUUGAGCCCUGGUCCGGGAAGCCCUCACAUGCCGCGGAGCAACUAAGCCCCUGCGCCACAACUACUGAGCCCGCGUGCCACAACUACUGAAGCCCGCGCACCUAGAGCCCGUGCUCCGCAACGAAAGAAGCCACCGCAAUGAAGAGUAGCCCCCGCUCGCCACAACUAGAGAAAGCACGCACGCAGCAAUGAAGACCCAAUGCAGCCAAAAAUAAUAAAUAAAAUAAAUAUAUUUUUUUAAAACUUAAAAAAGAAAAGAACCUCCAGAGACGGCCCACUGCCCGCCAAAUUAACGGCCAGCGCCUUACCUUGCAUUCUUUCAUCUUCCAUCUUGAAUGAUAAUUAUUGUUGACUUGUUCUGUGGUCCCCACUAGAUAGUAAACUACUUCACAGCAAGAUUCAACUG